AGAAUGUGGGCCUUGGUGAUCCAGUCCAGCUCCAAAGGGAUUCUGUCCAUCCCAGCUGUGGAUAGUGAGCCAAGAGUGCCAAGAUCUGCAGUGACACAUGCACCCUCACCUGUGGUUGCAGAGCUGCUGCCUGGAACGAGGCUGUUCCCCUGCGCUGUGUAUGUACAUCUGGAAGGAUGCAUUUUGGACUAGUGGAGCACAUAAACCCAGCUGCUGUCCAAGCCUGGCCAUCAGAGUGUGCAUCAGAAAUCAGCGGAAAUCUCCUGUCUCUGCCUGGGCUGGCCUGUCCAUCUGUUCUGAUGGCUUCUUUUAUCACCAGCAACCAUGUGAAGAAUGACCACAUUAAAAGGUUAUUUCCAAAUGAAAUUGAGGCACAUCCAGACAACAAUUUCUCUCAUUGGAAGGUAGUUAUCAGGAAUGUGAAGGAGGGA